rnacentral:rRNA from 1 species
GACGAACGCUGGCGGCGUGCUUAACACAUGCAAGUCGAACGGAAAGGCCCUGCUUUUGUGGGGUGCUCGAGUGGCGAACGGGUGAGUAACACGUGAGUAACCUGCCCUUGACUUUGGGAUAACUUCAGGAAACUGGGGCUAAUACCGGAUAGGAGCUCCUGCUGCAUGGUGGGGGUUGGAAAGUUUCGGCGGUUGGGGAUGGACUCGCGGCUUAUCAGCUUGUUGGUGGGGUAGUGGCUUACCAAGGCUUUGACGGGUAGCCGGCCUGAGAGGGUGACCGGAGCCAGUGGGACUGAGGUCGGCCGCCGAGGCGUAUGGGCGGGAGUGGUGCGGAAGAUGGGCGAGGGGGGCGAGGCGGGAGUCAGCGGCGCCGGGGGCGGGAUGCGGUGUCGCGGUGUGUGAGCCGGCUUCGCUGUGGGCGGAGCGUGGGUGGGGGUAAAGAGGCCACAAGCACGGGCUAACUACGCGGAAGUCGCGGGGGAAUGAUGGUGAGACAGACGUAUGAGC